rnacentral:rRNA from 1 species
AUUGAACGCUGGCGGCAUGCUUUACACAUGCAAGUCGGACGGCAGCGCGGGCUUCGGCCUGGCGGCGAGUGGCGAACGGGUGAGUAAUGCAUCGGAACGUGCCCAGUAGUGGGGGCUAGCCCGGCGAAAGCCGGAUUAAUACCGCAUACGACCUGAGGGUGAAAGCGGGGGACCGAAAGGCCUCGCGCUAUUGGAGCGGCCGAUGUCGGAUUAGCUAGUUGGUGGGGUAAAGGCUUACCAAGGCGACGAUCCGUAGCUGGUCUGAGAGGACGACCAGCCACACUGGGACUGAGACACGGCCCAGACUCCUACGGGAGGCAGCAGUGGGGAAUUUUGGACAAUGGGGGCAACCCUGAUCCAGCCAUGCCGCGUGCGGGAAGAAGGCCUUCGGGUUGUAAACCGCUUUUGUUCGGGAAGAAAUCCUCUGGGCUAAUACCCCGGGGGGAUGACGGUACCGGAAGAAUAAGCACCGGCUAACUACGUG